UACAGGCUUAACACAUGCAAGUCGAGGGGCAGCAUGGUCUUAGCUUGCUAAGGCCGAUGGCGACCGGCGCACGGGUGAGUAACACGUAUCCAACCUGCCGUCUACUCUUGGACAGCCUUCUGAAAGGAAGAUUAAUACAAGAUGGCAUCAUGAGUCCGCAUGUUCACAUGAUUAAAGGUAUUCCGGUAGACGAUGGGGAUGCGUUCCAUUAGAUAGUAGGCGGGUAACGGCCCACCUAGUCUUCGAUGGAUAGGGGUUCUGAGAGGAAGGUCCCCCACAUUGGAACUGAGACACGGUCCAAACUCCUACGGGAGGCAGCAGUGAGGAAUAUUGGUCAAUGGGCGAGAGCCUGAACCAGCCAAGUAGCGUGAAGGAUGACUGCCCUAUGGGUUGUAAACUUCUUUUAUAAAGGAAUAAAGUCGGGUAUGGAUACCCGUUUGCAUGUACUUUAUGAAUAAGGAUCGGCUAACUCCGUGCCAGCAGCCGCGGUAAUACGGAGGAUCCGAGCGUUAUCCGGAUUUAUUGGGUUUAAAGGGAGCGUGGAUGGAUAUUUAAGUCAGUUGUGAAAGUUUGCGGCUCAACCGUAAAAUUGCAGUUGAUACUGGAUAUCUUGAGUGCAGUUGAGGCAGGCGGAAUUCGUGGUGUAGCGGUGAAAUGCUUAGAUAUCACGAAGAACUCCGAUUGCGAAGGCAGCCUGCUAAGCUGCAACUGACAUUGAGGCUCGAAAGUGUGGGUAUCAAAC
rnacentral:rRNA from 1 species